rnacentral:antisense_RNA from 1 species
CUUGAUCGACCCGAGCCACAAGGGCUGGUCGUCGGCUCGGUCCCGGCCGUACGUGGCGAGCAGGGCCUGCGCCUC